rnacentral:rRNA from 1 species
UUCGCAAUGCCCGAAAGGGUGACGAAGCGACGCCGCGUGUGGGAAGAAGGCCUUCGGGUUGUAAACCGCUGUUGGGAGUUAGGAAGUGUGGGAGUGUUAAUAGCGUCUCUGCUUGACUAAGGCUCCGGAGGAAGCCACGGCUAACUCUGUGCCAGCAGCCGCGGUAAUACAGAGGCGGCAAGCGUUGUUCGGAAUUAUUGGGCGUAAAGAGCACGUAGGCGGCCGUGUAAGUCGGUUGUGAAAGCCUUUCGCUCAACGGAAGGACGGCAUCCGAUACUGCAUGGCUCGAGUGCGGGAGGGGAGAGUGGAACUUCUGGUGGAGCGGUGAAAUGCGUAGAUAUCAGAAGGAACACCGGCGGCGAAGGCGACUCUCUGGUCCGUAACUGACGCUGAGUGUGCGAAAGCUAGGGGAGCAAACGGGAUUAGAUACCCCGGUAGUCCCAGCCGUAAACGAUGGGCACUAAGUAGAGGGGUUUU